rnacentral:ncRNA from 2 species
UCUCUAUCAAGAGAGACGGAGGGAAAGGCCCGAUGAUGUCUCGGCAACAGGUCCAUCAAGGAUACUGUGCUAAGUCCUGCAAACAAAUUGUUUGGAAGAUGGGGA